UGUUUAUUUGUACGUUCCCAAUUUCAAACACAUAAACGUGAUUUUCAGUUUGUAAUUCAAAUGUUCGACGUUCCGGAAUUUUUUAUCUGUGAUUCUAACUUUAUUAAAGAUGUAUUACAAACUUUUUCAUAUCAAUAGGUGCUUAUCAUGUUUUUCAUUGUUUAUAUUGGUAUGUAUUUAUACCGAACUAGCAAUGUAUGCCAUCCUACAAGAUUCUUUUUGUAAUACAAAUAAUAUAAACGAUUGUAAUUGCCGUAUCACCUUCAAGUAAUGUUCUCAUUGUCGAUUAGAAUAAUGAUAAAUGCUUCUAUAUUGAGCAUGAUAAAUUGUGAAAACGCGACGUCAAACGCGAAUUUACAAAUUCAAUGUGAAAGAGGAAGUUACUAUCUCGACAAAGCAGGGUAUCGAAAAUCAACAACUACACCCGUCCUUUAGCAUCCCAGAGAAAGACUUAUAAUCAGAAAGAACGAAGAGGUCCCAACUUUUUAGAUUGGAUGGGCCUUCCAGUUGAUUUCUUCGAUCUUGAAGACUCUUUACCAAAAUUUGAUAAUUGCCUAUCGGAAAUCUGUCCAUAGAGGUCCGUUGUAACAACUGGUUACUCUCCGUUAUACGAUUCCUUGGGUCAAGAACAUCAUCCAUGGAUCUCUGCUAAUCUUCCCGAACGCCAUACAUUUUUUGUCUUCAUUUGAAAAUUUCCUUUUGGUUCGGAUCUAAAUGAAACGUACAUCUGGGCAUUCAAGCGGCUUAUGUACGAGCAUUCCAAUUUAUCCGAUUUCGAACGGGUCUACUCUCAUUAUAUUUGGGCAAAAACAUCAUCCAUGAAUCACUACUGAUCCUCUCGAACGCCAUAAAUUUUCUGUAUUUAAUUGGAAGUUUUCCGUUGGUUUGGAUCUAAAUGGAGCGUACAUCUGAGGCAUUCAUCCAGCAUCUGCACGAAUCUUCAUCCAUUUAAAAAAUCGAACCGAUUUAGAUUCAAUUUCUCGCGACACGCGAAUAAUCUAUGGGUUUAUUCAUCUUCUCGAAUGCCAUGAUUUUGAUCUAUUCGCUUGGGAAGUUUUUAAUUGGUUCUAAUCUGGGUGCUGCAUAUAUCUGGGUUAUGCAACUAAAUUUAGUGCAAGCUUUGCUCUUGAUUAAAAUUCGUUGUAGAAAUAGAGCAACAAACGUGGAAAAAAUUGAAGGGUGCGCGGUCUAAACCUGUU